rnacentral:rRNA from 1 species
AGUGAACGCUGGCGGUAGGCCUAACACAUGCAAGUCGAACAGCAGCACAGUAAGAGCUUGCUCUUACGGGUGGCGAGUGGCGGACGGGUGAGGAAUACAUCGGAAUCUACUUUUUCGUGGGGGAUAACGUAGGGAAACUUACGCUAAUACCGCAUACGACCUACGGGUGAAAGCAGGGGAUCUUCGGACCUUGCGCGAUUGAAUGAGCCGAUGUCGGAUUAGCUAGUUGGCGGGGUAAAGGCCCACCAAGGCGACGAUCCGUAGCUGGUCUGAGAGGAUGAUCAGCCACACUGGAACUGAGACACGGUCCAGACUCCUACGGGAGGCAGCAGUGGGGAAUAUUGGACAAUGGGCGCACGCCUGAUCCAGCCAUACCGCGUGGGUGAAGAAGGCCUUCGGGUUGUAAAGCCCUUUUGUUGGGAAAGAAAAGCAGCAGGUUAAUACCCCGCUGUUCUGACGGUACCCAAAGAAUAAGCACCGGCUAACUUCGUG